UGAACGGCCGGCACCCCUUGAUGCAUCGUGGGUAGUCGAUUCUCGAUCGCCAACUCCCCAAUCCGGACGCGGAAUGGGGUGAACGGCGGAUCGUUCACAACAAGCAUCGCGUCAAAGUGCAGGCGGCAGAAGCAGUGGAGGGCGCGCCGACAUCUCUCUCGACCAAACCACCACUUGAUAAGGCACGAGACUCGCUGACCAGCCUACACGGCAAAAUGCAAACUCGCCGAGUCCGGCGGUGCACCGUCGGCGAUAAUCCGCUCCAGGA
rnacentral:misc_RNA from 1 species